rnacentral:rRNA from 1 species
UACGUAGGUCCCGAGCGUUGUCCGGAUUUAUUGGGCGUAAAGCGAGCGCAGGUGGUUUAUUAAGUCUGGUGUAAAAGGCAGUGGCUCAACCAUUGUAUGCAUUGGAAACUGGUAGACUUGAGUGCAGGAGAGGAGAGUGGAAUUCCAUGUGUAGCGGUGAAAUGCGUAGAUAUAUGGAGGAACACCGGUGGCGAAAGCGGCUCUCUGGCCUGUAACUGACACUGAGGCUCGAAAGCGUGGGGAGCAAACAGGAUUAGAUACCCUGGUAGUCCACGCCGUAAACGAUGAGUGCUAGAUGUAGGGAGCUAUAAGUUCUCUGUAUCGCAGCUAACGCAAUAAGCACUCCGCCUGGGGAGUACGACCGCAAGGUUGAA